GCUGCAGAUCCUGAAGAAUGUGCAGAUCAACAACAAAGCCCUGGCUCUGGUCCUGCAGGCGGAGAAGGUGAGGCAGGCCAAGGGUAUCAUCCUGCAGAUGAAGAGGGAAUAGCAGGCCCUCUUCCUCCACCUCCUCCUGCUCAAGAGGAGGCUCAAAGACCAGGAGGCAUAGGCAAGCAAUGUUCAGACUGGACCUGCACAGCUCCCUGCAGAACCACCAAAGCCAGUGGACUCUUCCAGGAGAAUUUAAAGCUGUGCUGCUCUGGAAGAUCUUGUAAUGGUCGAAGCCCCACCCUCACCCAUCAGCUCAGACCCUUAGUUUCCUGAAGGGGCAGGACAAAGCGAGAGUGAUGAGCAUGUGGCGUUGCCACGGACAGUGGGUGUGAGACGUCGCCAGGUGGAGGGCAGCAACAAUGGGUAGAAACAGAGAAUCCAUUAAUUUUCCAGUCUAUUGACAAAAACCUGAUUAAAGUCCUCUGCUUUGUAGAACUGAUGGGGGAACCACAAUAAGUGGAAAUAACUGAGGAAAAACAGAUGCCAGUAGCUAAAGAAGAAGCAAAGCAAGAGAAGUUAAAGAAAGAAAUGGAAAGUAUGAUCACAGAACAAGUAUGGUCAAAA